rnacentral:lncRNA from 1 species
UUUGAGAUGUGAUAGACGACGACGCUGCUAGGAACCCUGGAUCGCUCAAGUGAGUCAAGCCUAGUUUGGUUUGUUGUGUGCUUUUAUUUGCUUUAUUUGUUUGAUUUUUCUUUAUAUUUUGUUUUCUUUACCUCAAUUGUGUUAUAUAUCAUAUAUUUAUUGUUGGCUUGAUUGAGCUAUUGUUGGAUGCUCUGAUUUUCAAACACAUUAUGGAAAAGACUUUAUAACCGAGUCUAGAGAAGAC